GUGUUUAUGUUAGCAGCACAUACACUAAAAAUUGGAAUGAUACAGAGAAGAUUAGCAUGCUCCCUGCACAAGAAUGACAUGAGAAUUCAUGAAACAUGCCAUAUUUUU
ensembl:snRNA U6 U6 spliceosomal RNA